CCGGUGCGCCCCCGGCGGCCCAUGAAAAUCCGGAGGACCGAGUACCGUUCACGCCCGGUCGUACUCAUAACCGCAUCAGGUCUCCAAGGUGAGCAGCCUCUGGCCAAUGGAACAAUGUAGGCAAGGGAAGUCGGCAAAACGGAUCCGUAACUUCGGGAAAAGGAUUGGCUCUGAGGACUGGGCUCGGGGGUCCCGGCCCCGAACCCGUCGGCUG
rnacentral:ncRNA from 1 species